AGUUGAUGCGCAUGGCAGUUUUCCUCCCAGUUCCGCUGCAUCAACUGUUCCUCUCUGGAGGUUCAUACCUUCAAACUCAUGGGUCGCGGUUUUCCGACGGCCCUUUUCU
rnacentral:sRNA from 1 species